GAUGAACGCUGGCGGCGUGCCUAAUACAUGCAAGUCGAACGAGGUGCUUUUGUAGCAAUACGAGAGUAUCCUAGUGGCGAACGGGUGAGUAACGCGUUGGUGACCUACCCCAAAGUGUGGGAUAACAGUCCGAAAGGAUUGCUAAUACCGCAUGUGGUCUUCGGAUUUAGAAACUGAUGAAUAAAGGAGCAAUUCGCUUUGGGAGGGACCUGCGUCCCAUCAGCUAGUUGGUGAGGUUAUGGCUCACCAAGGCUACGACGGGUAGGGGACCUGAGAGGGUGACCCCCACAAUGGAACUGAAACACGGUCCAUACACCUACGGGUGGCAGCAGUAGGGAAUAUUGCACAAUGGGCGAAAGCCUGAUGCAGCAACGCCGCGUGUGCGAUGAAGGCCUUCGGGUCGUAAAGCACUUUUCUGGGAGAUGAGCAAGGACAGUAUCUCAGGAAUAAGUCUCGGCUAACUACGUGCCAGCCGCCGCGGUAACAC
rnacentral:rRNA from 1 species